CAAAGAAUAGUUUAAUUUAAGAAUUUUAGCUUUGGGAGCUAAAGAUGGGAGUUAAAAUCUCUCUUCUUUGA
rnacentral:tRNA from 1 species